CUCGUAGCUUGCUAUGAGAACAAUUAGUGGCAGACGGGUGAGUAAUGCAUAGGAAUCUACCUAGUAGUAUAGGAUAGCCACUAGAAAUGGUGGGUAAUACUGUAUAAUCCCUGCGGGGGAAAGAUUUAUCGCUACAUGAUGAGCCUAUGUUAGAUUAGCUAGUUGGUGGGGUAAUGGCCUACCAAGGCAGUGAUCUAUAGCUGGUCUGAGAGGAUGAUCAGCCACACUGGAACUGAGACACGGUCCAGACUCCUACGGGAGGCAGCAGUGGGGAAUAUUGGACAAUGGGCGCAAGCCUGAUCCAGCUAUGCCGCGUGAGUGAGGAAGGCCUUAGGGUUGUAAAACUCUUUCAGUGGGGAAGAUAAUGACGGUACCCACAGAAGAAGUCCCGGCAAACUCCGUGCCAGCAGCCGCGGUAAUACGGAGGGGGCAAGCGUUGUUCGGAAUUAUUGGGCGUAAAGGGCAUGUAGGUGGUUUGGUAAGUUAAAGGUGAAAUGCCAGGGCUUAACCCUGGAGCUGCUUCUAAUACUGCCAGACUGGAGUCCGGGAGA
rnacentral:rRNA from 1 species